GACGAACGCUGGCGGCGUGGAUUAGGCAUGCAAGUCGAACGGUAUCAUCCUUUCGGGGGUGAGAGAGUGGCGAACUGGUGAGUAACACGUAGGUUAUCUACCCUCAAGACGGGGACAACCCAGGGAAACUUGGGCUAAUACCGGAUGUGAGCAACUUUUAGUUGUUUGAAAGGUGGCGUAAGCUGUCGCUUGGGGAUGAGCCUGCGUCCUAUUAGUUAGUUGGUGAGGUAACGGCUCACCUAGGCAAUGAUAGGUAGGCGGCCUUAACGGGUGGUCGCCCACACUGGGAUUGAGAUACGGCCCAGACUCCUACGGGAGGCAGCAGUCGAGAAUAGUCUACAAUGGUCGGAAGACUGAUAGUGCGACGCCGCGUGAACGAUGAAUCCCUUCGGGGUGUAAAGUUCUUUUAUAUGUGAGCAGUGCUUCUUAUAUUAACAGUAUGGGGAAGAGAUAUUAGCAUAUGAAUAAGCAAACGGCUAAACUCCGUGCCAGCAGCCGCGGUAA
rnacentral:rRNA from 1 species